rnacentral:rRNA from 1 species
UACGUAGGGUGCAAGCGUUAAUCGGAAUUACUGGGCGUAAAGCGUGCGCAGGCGGUUUUGUAAGUCUGACGUGAAAGCCCCGGGCUCAACCUGGGAAUUGCGAUGGAGACUGCAAGACUUGAAUCUGGCAGAGGGGGGUAGAAUUCCACGUGUAGCAGUGAAAUGCGUAGAGAUGUGGAGGAACACCGAUGGCGAAGGCAGCCCCCUGGGUCAAGAUUGACGCUCAUGCACGAAAGCGUGGGGAGCAAACAGG